GGGGGUAUAGCUCAGCUGGGAGAGCAGCAGACUGAAGUUCAAGGAGUUCAGGAGUUCACGAGUUCACGAGUUCUGAAGGUCCCGCGUUCGAUCCGCGGUACCCCCA